UCAUCAAUAAUGAGGGAUGUUUAAAGCUUGCAGAUUUUAGCCUUUCACGCUAGUGCCCCAGUGAUGACAUCAAUGAAGUUAAAAUUGAGGUUACUUCUUUGUGGCACAGGUAUUGCUAUGCCUUUGGACUUACCGGACACCCCUAGAUCCGUCAAAGGUAUCACUUUUCUAAUAGUGUCGACACCCCUACUUUGGAGUUACUGGACAAAAUGCUAACUCUAGAUCCGUCAAAGAACUCACUUAACCAUCUUAUAUCAAGAGGCGCAGUGUCAUUUUCGGGGUAGAUUACAGGAAAACUGGUAGUCAGUAGCAGAUAGCAUGUCAUAUUUUUUUAUGCCAUUUGAUUCAGGUCAAAUGAUGUCUACAAGCACACUGAAAGCUGUGGAGUAUAGAGGAAAAUGACCUUUAAAUUUUCCUUACUGAAUUCAGGUCUUCCAAUCCAGAACAUUUUCAGGAAAUGGUCCAUUGAAGUUCGGUACUGGUGGACAAAUGGUAUGGGACUGCUGAACCAUGGGUCACUUGUACAAAAUUGAAAACCGAGUAUAUUAUACAUAUUGUGUAUCUCCUAUAAUUCCAUUUUAAUGAAUAGGUCCAAUGAAAUUUUCUAUGCA